rnacentral:tRNA from 1 species
GGACCGUUAGCUCAGUUGGUAGAGCAGCUGACUCUUAAUCAGCGGGUCACAGGUUCGAAUCCUGCACGGUCUACCA